rnacentral:rRNA from 1 species
GAGUUUGAUCUUGGCUCAGAUUGAACGCUGGCGGCAGGCCUAACACAUGCAAGUCGAGCGGAUGAAGAGAGCUUGCUCUCUGAUUCAGCGGCGGACGGGUGAGUAAUGCCUAGGAAUCUGCCUGGUAGUGGGGGACAACGUUUCGAAAGGAACGCUAAUACCGCAUACGUCCUACGGGAGAAAGCAGGGGACCUUCGGGCCUUGCGCUAUCAGAUGAGCCUAGGUCGGAUUAGCUAGUAGGUGAGGUAAUGGCUCACCUAGGCGACGAUCCGUAACUGGUCUGAGAGGAUGAUCAGUCACACUGGAACUGAGACACGGUCCAGACUCCUACGGGAGGCAGCAGUGGGGAAUAUUGGACAAUGGGCGAAAGCCUGAUCCAGCCAUGCCGCGUGUGUGAAGAAGGUCUUCGGAUUGUAAAGCACUUUAAGUUGGGAGGAAGGGCAGUAAGUUAAUACCUUGCUGUUUUGACGUUACAACAGAAUAAGCACCGGCUAACUUCGUGCC